GGCAGUUGCUACCAUCAGCAAACGGAGGUACCAGCUAAACAGCAGUGUUCCCACAACUAUGGACUGGUUGGCUUUCUAGAACGUACGAAGGAGUGUACGGGGUGAUCUGUACUAGAGAGAGAAAGAGUUCAGGGUAGGCAUUCCUUUUGUACCCCAUUUUCAAGAAAUGAGGCAUUUGGCGCAUCACCUGGUCGCUUUUCUGCUACCGCCGGGAACGAGCUCAAGGUUGGGAGGAAGAGAGGAAAUUCUGCUUCGCAUGCAUCCAGGAUGUCCCUGGGGGGAGGGUGUGAUGUCCUGGACUGAGAAAACCCAAAACGAUGGCUGGGACAGCAGUGCUUGGGCAGAAUUUGAGAGAUUUGGAUGCGCACACAGUGGCUAUCAUCCCUGGACACAUUGAUGAAAGGAAAGUGUUAGGUCUUUCUUUCUUGACUUCUCGACUCACUGACCAAACUUUUUGUGACGAGGUUUGAAGUUCUGGAGAGCAAGGACGAGCUUGAUCUCAUUGGACAACAACCACCAGAACCGCUGCGGCAGUUUAACCAGCGCUUUCAGUCUUAUAUUCGUAAAUUCGUCCUGUGUGGCGACUUGAUACGGCUGUGCAUCACUUUGCCAAGUUCCAGCCUUCUUGGAUUGGUCGUUAUCAGGUACUUUCUCGUGCUGGCACUAAUUCGUAUUGGCUAGCAGAGUUGACGGGCACGACACUACCGAUGGAGUUCAUCUCAAACGGUAUUUCUUUUGACUGGUACAGUUCACGUUUUGUUUCUAUUGUUUUAAUGCUGUGAGUGUCUUUGCGAGAACUAUUUUGUUACUCACAGGCCCGAACCUGAUUCGGGAGCAGGGCACUGUCUCCUGGGAUAAGUUCUGUCCCAUUCGCGAUGCGGAGACAGCUUGUUGAGGGGCACGAUCCUGUGGUACGUAAUGCCUCUUUCUCCCCUGUCUCUUGAGGUUUCCGAUCGUCACAGUUCUGAGGUGCAUUCUUUGUCUCAAAUCGCUGAGAAUGUUAAUCUGCACUUCCUUGCUUUCUGUCAUAACUGUUACAUUUGAACUGCUUUCUAUGUUUUCUUGUUCCGUGGUCUCGUUCGUCUAGUUGUGGCCUGUCGUUAACAAUCUUUCACUGGGGAUGGCCAAAGCGCUUGGUCUCUCUGGCGUUGGAAAGUUUCAUGGCGGUUGGUUCUCGUUGACAGUUGGCCAAGUCGCUUGGUCCUUUCGGCUUGUCAAUCGACUGCCUAUGACGGGCUGCUUCAAGGAUGGAUGAGACACGGGAAAAUUUGUGUGAUGCCUUUCUGUGCUUAUUGUCUUUCUUUCAUACCAUUGCCUCGGAGCUUGAACAUCGAUGCUACCUCAGAAUCUUUGACUUUGGACCUCCAAUCACUUGGGAUUGAGACUCAUUCGCCCCUUGAGAGUUGCACACCAUCAACACUGAAUCUCUUAGUAUCUGCGCACUUGGGACGUGCUUUCCCCAGUGAGUUGCCAAACUGGUGCAAUCCGAAAACGUACGGGAGAGUGUUAUAAGAGAGAGUUUAGGGUAGACAUUCUUUGGAUGAUGUUAGUGCAGAGGUCAUGAAGGGAACUGCCAUGGAGAUGUGCUCCAGGUCGAGAUAGCUUCGUGUUGGCUGGAUAUGCAGUGGAAGUCGAGAUAGCUUUGUGUUGGCUGGAUAUGCAGUGGAAUGACUCUAGCAGUUGAAGCCUGGAGAAUCUUUUUGUGGUUGAAGAACUAUAUUUGUAAUGAA